rnacentral:sRNA from 1 species
CCCCUCCCAGCCUGAUACCUGUAUAAGGGCAAAGUUCUUCCUUUGUCCUGGUGUGGUUCUGCAGAUCUGGCUUCCGCCAAAGUCUGUGUCAAGAGUGUUAAGGGAUGGGGUCGCUGCCCAAAUGGGUGUUGUUUUCCUGAUGUGGCUGCCUGUUGUGUCUCCUCCCUAGGGCAUCGGGGAGUACGUGAACAUCCGCACGGGGAUGCCCUGCCACUUGCACCCCACCAGCUCCCUUUUUGGAAUGGGCUACACCCCAGAUUACAUAGUGUAUCACGAGUUGGUCAUGACCACCAAGGAGUAUAUGCAGUGUGUGACCGCUGUGGACGGGGAGUGGCUGGCGGAGCUGGGCCCCAUGUUCUAUAGCGUGAAACAGGCGGGCAAGUCACGGCAGGUGAGGGUUCUGUGCUCUUCGCAGGGGUGCUGUUUGCCUGUGGGGUCGGUGUUCCCUCCGCUUGGUAUUGAAGACUUGCGGUCAUCCAACCCACUUACUUCUCUCUGCCAACAUAAAGGCUGUGAUCCAGCAGGCUGGGUCUGUCUUGAUUCCCCACACCCACUCCAGUUAUUUGGUAGGCUGAGCCUUUAAAAACAAAACCAAAAAACUCAUUAUUGAAAAGUCCAAAUAUUCAUGAAAGUGGGA